UCGCGUAAAGCGCCGUAGGCAGGAGCGGGGGACCCAAGGUAGGCGCCGCACGGGGCAGUUGACCGAGCGGCUUGGGGUGAAGCCGUGUCUCGCACGCAGCGAGUCACGGCCGGGCAACUCAACCGGCCCGAACCCGACAGCUCACCUCGCAGGCGUCGGUGAGGGGAUCU
rnacentral:sRNA from 1 species